UCACGUGAAUGAGAAAAGAAAGUGGUUUCUUGAGAUAGAACCUACCCCUGGUGAAGAUGCUAUGAA
rnacentral:pre_miRNA from 1 species